UGCUGCCAAGGAGACACAAGGUCACUGCCAAUCCGUGGCCAUGCUGCUUAGGAAGUGCCCGCUCCAGGAAGUUUCACAAGGAAACAAGCUCUCACACCAGCUCAAGGGAGAAAGCUAAACUUAGAACAAUCAAAUGAGAGAUAUUAACAAAGCUCUGAGGAAAGGCAUUUGGAAUGAACUUUAUGUAAAGUUUAUAUGAAGGAGCAUGAGGCAGUGAUGUCUACAAUGUGGCUUAAGGAUCAUCAUUUAAAUCAAAAAACACUCCUGGGAGGCAACAAAGAUAGGUGUACAAGAGGUGAAGAUACCCAGGCACGAUGAGACAGUGGUACCUUAGGAUAUGAGAAGUGACCCUAAGGGCCACAUUGCUAUUUUUGAAUCUGAUAUAUGCAGAUAUUGACUAUAGUUAAUAUCAACACCAACUAAUUGAUAGACCUCACUUACUCCUGUGGGUCGAGUUCAACCAGGAAGAAGAAAACUGGGAAGUCUUAUUAAUAUGCUGCUCAGAGAUGAAUCUCCAGGCACCUAAGUGGGAUCUGCAAGGGUUAAGAGUGACUCUCUGAGAGUAAAUAUAAUCUAUACCCGGUCGGCUUGAGAAAAGUCAAGGUUUUCUGGUUAGCCAUAUAUUAUCUACAAAAGAAUGUGGACACAUCAACUAUUUCUUUAGUAAGAUGUGGCCAGAAUGCAGCUGAGGCAAGAUGGAGAGAAAUACUGGAAUUUACUGGGCUGAAUUUCCCACACUUCUUCGCAUUGCUUCUAUUGGAUUUAUACUUGCAACCAAUCGCCUUUGUUGGACAACACAAUGAAACAAGCCAUGCUCAGAUGGAAGAUAUUUUCAAAAGUAGGUCCCACUUUGACUAAAUGCUUUGUAUUACACAUAGAAGAUUUCAUAGUUCUUCCCGAAAUAUAUGCCUUUGAAAUGCAGACCCAGGAACUGGUGAACUGGGACAGCUAAAAGAUUUCCAGAGGUGAGCGUGACCUACAGCCAAGGCUUAAAUCUUAAGAGCUUUAACACUAUGCUUGCAACAAUCUAGAAAUGUCUGCCUCCUAUACCCCCUUCUUCUCCACUUAACUUUUGACAACUUAACUCAGCCAGGAGAUGAGGGGUUAGGGUUACUCUUCGCCUGUGGUACAUGGAUGUGGAAUUGGCUCCUAAAGGACUUUCCCCCUCUCCUCUGUGGACGGGCCAUGCCCACCUAGCAGGACUGAGAUACUCCAGAGGAAAAUAUUCUUGAGCGGAUCUUCCUGGAUGGGGUUCUAAUUAAAGGAAUCUCCUACCCACCUCUAAGUCCUAGAUUCCUCCUUCCUUUACAUCUAGAAUUUUCAUGCGGAUAUUUUUUCAACUUC
rnacentral:lncRNA from 1 species